AGCGGGGUGGAGCAGUGGUAGCUCGUUGGGCUCAUAACCCAAAGGUCGUAGGUUCAAAUCCUACCCCCGCAACCA
rnacentral:tRNA from 1 species